UCGACAAGUAUAACUUUAAUGUUUUUAAAAUUACAUUUAUGAUCCCUAAACUCCUAAUCUGUAUCAUAAACUAAUUAUAUUGAUACCCUUGAAAAAAAACUAAUUUAUAUUGAUCAAAUUUAUUUUCAUUUCAACCCUAACUACUCUGUCACUCUCAUGCUCUUCCUCUCACCGGAAUGCCGGCCAACGUUAGCGAAUUCAGAUUAAAUUUUUGCUCCGUACUGUUUUUCGUCACCGUCUCUCCUUCCACGUGGUUCCCGAAACAAAUAAAGAAUUUGCAGAUCCUCCCCUUCGAUUUUGUGUUCUAUUAUGACGAAGAAGAAAUUCAUGCAGUUAGUACGGAGUCCUUCCCUGCAUCUGAAAGAGCUUCCAGAAUUCUUUGUUCGGGGUGGUAAUACAGAAAUGAAGCCAUUUUUUUCUUCUCGCCUCACUGAGCGCCUGGUCCGUGGCCAUGAAGAUGUCAUGGUUUCUGCUGCUGCUGUAAAUACUGUCAUUAUAGUUUUUAGUACACCCUAAAUGAAUUUUAGGUGCUAACAAUUGUAUGAAGUAUAAAGUAGAGAUUGAUGAUGUUUAGUACUCCCAUAAUGUAUUUUAGGUGCAAUCAAUUCUACAUGGUUUCGUGAAAAGGUAUUUUUUGUACUACAACUAGAUGUGGAUUUUUAUUACUCCUUAAAUGUAUUUUGGGCAUUACGUAGUGUAACUUGUACUCCAUGUAUAGAACUUUAUCAUUGUUUAGUACUCCCUAAAUGUCUAAAUGCAUAUGGGAAUUCCCAGCACUUUAUUUAGA